GUGGGGAAUAUUAGGCAAUGGGCGAAAGCCUGACCUAGCAACGCCGCGUGAAGGAAGAAGGCCUUCGGGUUGUAAACUUCUUUUAUGAGGGACGAAGGACGUGACGGUACCUCAUGAAUAAGCCACGGCUAACUACGUGCCAGCAGCCGCGGUAAUACGUAGGUGGCAAGCGUUGUCCGGAUUUACUGGGUGUAAAGGGCGCGUAGGCGGGAAAGCAAGUCAGGAGUGAAAUCUAUGGGCUCAACCCAUAAAUUGCUUUUGAAAAUGUUUUUCUUGAGUGAUGGAGAGGCAAGCGGAAUUCCUAGUGUAGCGGUGAAAUGCGUAGAUAUUAGGAGGAACACCAGUGGCGAAGGCGGCUUGCUGGACAUUAACUGACGCUGAUGCGCGAAAGCGUGGGGAGCAAACAGGAUUAGAAACCCGUGUAGUCC
rnacentral:rRNA from 1 species